rnacentral:lncRNA from 1 species
CGAAGAAAAUAACAAAUUAGUUUAAGUAAAAGGUUAGCUCUCUUCAUUUCUUAAAUUAAUACAUGUCAAAGUCAACAAAUUCAGUAUAAUGUUUCCGCUAAGUUACCUUUGAUGACAUGUGGCAGCGGAAAAUUGUAUGUUUUCUCUCCAUCUGAUCUGAGUAGCUCCCUUAUCGUCUCUAAGGGUAUAUGUUGUCUAAUUUUCUCCAACAUAGUUACAUUAGAUACUUCGGUUGCACCAUCAUAGAGCCGUAGCACGUCCUCAAAUGAGUCAAACUCAUCGGGAGUUUUGUCAAACAGAUCCUUAAGCACUGGCACCAAGAACUGAAAUAGUGACUUGAGUGCAUAUGCUACAAAAUCUGACAUCUUCAGAUGACUAAACCUUUCAUCCCUCGGGACGUAGAUGCUCAGGCUGUUAUAUGCUGGUAUCCUGCCCUCGGUUCUGGGAUCUACAAAGUAGCAAGUGAUUAAACACAUGUGGUUUAUACGUAGAUGCUUAAAUGCAUGCAUCUUCCAAUGUCAGAAUGCAUCUAUACAUGGUAAUCUCUCUUAAGUUUCAUGUUCAACCUCUUACCUGAUGAAGCCAGAGGCCGGCCAGUUCUUCCUCUGCGAGGAUAUGGGUAUUCAGUUGAACCCCCAAGAAUGGGACGUUCUGCUCUGGACCUUUAUCUGGAUCACCUAAAUCAUUGUAUAUAUCAUAGUCGUACACCCUAUCCCAUUCCUCAAGUUUUCCUGUUCCAGUUCCUCUCAGGUUCUCCAAUUCUUCUUCUCUGUAACCACGAAGUGGCGGAGGCGUUUGGCUAGGGAGAUAUGUCUGCAACAGAAGGUUAUUUUCUUCUUUAUAUAGAACACACGUCACAGGCACAAAAUCACUCUUUCUGAGUCAAAGCAAAUUGUUUAAUGAUAAAGCUAGACAUGCAAAUUCUGUUUGAUUUUGGCAUCUGAAAGCUAAUGCAGAAGCAGCUGUUUCGUUCUUAUAAACUUUUAAUUUUAGGUACAUGGGAGUGAGCACAAUAACAUAUGUGAACUUGAGAUCAUGCUGAAACAAAAUAUAGCAUUUGAUGCACCUUCAUAAAUGAAUUUAGUGGAGAUAGCUCGUUAUAUAGCCUUGAAAGAGUGUAGCGAUUCAUGUUAUCACUAUUUAACAUGCUGCAAUAUUUUUCUUUUACCUGAUUAGCGAAAAAUAUCCGGUCCUUUUUGUAGCAUUCAGCAUGGUAAACCCAAGAAUUGCAGAUGAAAUGGACGCGGCCAUGGCCAGGGACGUCUUCAAGAGUCAGCGUCUUGAGGUAGAAUUCACUAUGGUGAAAAUUUGUGAUUGUGAAUGCCCCCGGAUAGCCCAUCUCCUUGCUCCA